CACGGGGGGAGCAAGCGUUGUUCGGAAUCACUGGGCGUAAAGGGCGCGUAGGCGGCCUGCUAAGUCGGAUGUGAAAUCCCUCGGCUCAACCGAGGAACUGCAUCCGAUACUGGCGGGCUUGAGUGUGGCAGAGGGGGGUGGAAUUCCGCGUGUAGCAGUGAAAUGCGUAGAGAUGCGGAGGAACACCGAUGGCGAAGGCAGCCCCCUGGGCUGACACUGACGCUCAGGCACGAAAGCGUGGGGAGCAAACAGG
rnacentral:rRNA from 1 species